CUUUCUACAUGCUUCAACAAUCGCAUUCCAUUUGGAAAAUUGAUCUUUAUAAAAUAUAUCGGGUAAAUCAA
rnacentral:tRNA from 1 species